rnacentral:rRNA from 1 species
AGAGUUUGAUCCUGGCUCAGAGUGAACGCUGGCGGCGUGCCUAACACAUGCAAGUCGAACGAUGAUGGAGAGCUUGCUCUCCUGAUUAGUGGCGCACGGGUGAGUAUACCAUAGAUAAUGUACCCCUUAGUUCGGGAUAGCCACUGGAAACGGUGAUUAAUACCGGAUACUCCUUCUCGUUAUAAGACGAGUCGGGAAAGUUUUUUCGCUAAGGGAUCAGUCUAUGUCCUAUCAGCUAGUUGGUGAGGUAAUGGCUCACCAAGGCUAUGACGGGUAUCUGGUUUGAGAGGAUGAUCAGACACACUGGAACUGAGACACGGUCCAGACUCCUACGGGAGGCAGCAGUGAGGAAUAUUGCACAAUGGAGGAAACUCUGAUGCAGCAACGCCGCGUGGAGGAUGACGCAUUUCGGUGUGUAAACUCCUUUUAAGAGGGAAGAUUAUGACGGUACCUCUUGAAUAAGCACCGGCUAACUCCGUGCCAGCAGCCGCGGU